CGAACGCUGGCAGCAGGCCUAAUACAUGCAAGUCGAACGGCUCUUCGGAGCAGUGGCGGACGGGUGAGUAACGCGUGGGAAUGUGCCCUUUGGUACGGAACAACACAGGGAAACUUGUGCUAAUACCGUAUGUGCCCUUCGGGGGAAAGAUUUAUCGCCAUUGGAGCAGCCCGCGUUGGAUUAGGUAGUUGGUGAGGUAAAGGCUCACCAAGACUACGAUCCAUAGCUGGUCUGAGAGGAUGAUCAGCCACACUGGGACUGAGACACGGCCCAGACUCCUACGGGAGGCAGCAGUAGGGAAUCUUGCGCAAUGGGCGAAAGCCUGACGCGGCCAUGCCGCGUGAAUGAUGAAGGUCUUAGGAUUGUAAAAUUCUUUCACCGGGGAAGAUAAUGACGGUACCCGGAGAAGAAGCCCCGGCUAACUUCGUGCCAGCCGCCGCCGUAAUAC
rnacentral:rRNA from 1 species